rnacentral:lncRNA from 1 species
GUAGCUUUCUAUGAAGACACCUAAACCAAGGCUUACUGUUGCAACCCGUUGUCCCACGCUAGUGCAGUGACAUAAGCAAGACAGAAGGGGGCAACACGAGCAUGCGGGCGCGAAGCUUCACUCAAAGGGAGCUUGACGCAGUGUCUCGUUCCUCUUAUUUCAAGCGCAUGUUACCGGAGCGUGAGGAGCAAGGAAGGGUUUAUGAUGCAGUGUUCCAUCUUAGGGAGGGGUAUGAACCCAAAGUGUCACGUGAUGACAAGGCUGUGAACCUUACACUGAACAUUAAUAAGGAGGUAAGUAUUAACAAAGCUUCUUCUCUGGGCCAUAAUCUUUCUGAAGAUGUCCCUUCAUUUUUGCCAGUCCACUUAGAACUCUUACUGCCCAUUAUUGAUGUCAAUGAUUGAUUAAGCAUUUUGUCCUGUUGCACCAGGAAAGGGGUAGACGGGUGCCUGUCCUCUCAUCGUCUAUGUACGGCUGGCAUGUAGACAAGCCCCUGGAGGCUCCCUACAAGAAGAAUGCACGCGUGCAGAUGGUGAACAAGGGGUUCUUCCGAUCCCGAGGGACCUGUAUCCCACUGGAGACAGAAAUGGGAGAAUUGAAUGAAAAAUGCAAACCUUAAUAAAAGAUGCAAAAUGAAACUUUAUGCACUGUAGGAUAUAUAUGCCAAACGCAUACACACACUCGUAUACAAUUGCACCCGGAAAGACAGGAUCUGGACAGAGAUCAGCUAGAGAGCUAGCCAGUGGCGGUUCUAGACCAUUUCAACUGGGGCGGGGGGCAAGCUGGGGCCAGUUGUACUGUUAGAGGGGCCAGUUACAUUAGACGUUAUUGUUGUCAUAGCGUUUUCUUCACUGCAUUGCAGGCAUUAGCAGGCAAAAGACCAU